UUCCUGGGCUAUGCGCCAGCAACGAAGACCUCGAGCCGAUAUUAACACCUACGGGUGCCUUUUAGCCGUUGAUGUGUGCAUGUCCGAUCUUUCGGAAAGCCUAAUUCUUCGCUUGGGCCCCUCCUUGAACCUUACGGUUCAAGGCCUUCAUCUGCAGCGGUAGUUUGGGAA
rnacentral:other from 1 species